AGCGGGGUCCGGGCCCCUCUGGCGGUGCGUCGCCCACCGCGAUGUCGGACCCUUGAA
rfam:Kaistia soli DSM 19436 genome assembly, contig: EJ62DRAFT_scaffold00002.2